UAUUGCACAAUGGGCGGAAGCCUGAUGCAGCGACGCCGCGUGAGUGAAGAAGUAUCUCGGUAUGUAAAGCUCUAUCAGCAGGGAAGAAAAUGACGGUACCUGAAUAAGAAGCCCCGGCUAACUACGUGCCAGCAGCCGCGGUAAUACGCAGGGGGCAAGCGUUAUCCGGAUUUACUGGGUGUAAAGGCAGCGUAGACGGCAAGGCAAGCCAGGAGUGAAAGGGCAGGGCUCAACCCUGUACAUGCUUUUGGAACUGUGGUGCUAGAGUGCAGGAGAGGUAAGUGGAAUUCCUAGUGUAGCGGUGAAAUGCGUAGAUAUUAGGAGGAACACCAGUGGCGAAGGCGGCUUACUGGACUGUAACUGGCGUUGAGGCUCGAAAGCGUGGGGAGCAAACAG
rnacentral:rRNA from 1 species